rnacentral:tRNA from 1 species
GCCUUUAUAGUAUAAACCAUUACUCUGGUCUUGUAAACCAGCAAUGAGAGAACCGCUCUCUAAAGGCA